GCCUGCUGGGCUGGGCUGGGCUGGGCUGAGCUGGGCAGAGAGGCCCCUCUGCUGACCCCCG
rnacentral:miRNA from 1 species